GACGGCGUGGCCGAGUGGUUAAGGCGAGAGAUUAGAAAUCUCUUCCGCUCUGCGGGCACAGGUUCGAAUCCUGUCGCCGUCG